GUCUGCCUACUAACAGUUUUAUAAACCAAGUGUGUUAGUAAAAUUUAGUUUCUAGUGAACUAGGGUAACAAAAAAGGCAAAGAUGAGCUCAUGAAGAACACCAGUCUAACCAGAAAAUGUUAUGUAUUAGCAUCUAUAAAUGAUAAACUACAAACAUUGACAAAUUAUUCAACUUUGGGCUGGGGAUGGUAGCUCAUGCCUGUAAUCCUAAAGCUUUGGGAGGCCAAGGCAUGAGUCACCAGGGCAGGAGUUUGAGACCAGCCUGGGCAACAUGGCAAGACUCCACUUCUACAAAAAUUAAAAGAAAAAAAUUAGCUGAGUGUGUGGCACAUGCCUGUGAUCCCAGCUAGUUGAGAGGCUGAGGUGGGUAGAGAACUUGAGCCCACGAGUUCAAGGCUGCAGUGAGCUAUGUAUGAUUGUGUCACUGCUCACCAGACAGGCAACAGAACCAGACUGUAUCUCUAAAAAAAAAAUUAUUCAAUGUUGCUGGAUUUAACCCAGUAAUAUAUAGUAUAAUUGUUCUCAAAGUGUGAUCCUUAGACCACCAGCAUCAGCAUCACUUGGAACUUGUUAGAAAUGUAUUCUCACCACCACCCCAGACCUGCUGAAUCUGACACUGAGGGUGGGACCUACAAGCGCUCCAGGGGAUUCUGGUGCAUACUGAAAUUUAAGAACCACUGGUAUAGUAUAUGCUGCAGUGCACAGUCCAGAGCCCACGUAUUCCUUAUAAAACUGGAGCACUUGGCCAGGUGUGGUAGCUCAUCCCUGUAAUCUCAGAACUUUGGGAGGCUGAGGUGGGCAGAUCACCUGAGGUCAGGAGUUCCAGACCAGCUUGGCCAACAUGGUGAAACCCCAUCUCUACUAAAACAAAAAUUAGCUGGGUGUAGUGGCAUGCGCUUGUAGUCCCAGCUACUCUGGGAGGCUGAGGCAGGAGAAUCACUUGAACCCAGGAGGUGGAAGUUGCAAUGAGCCGAGAUGACGCCACUGCACUCCAGCCUGGGCAACAGAGCAAGACUCUGUCUCAAAAAAACAAAAACAAAAAAACUGGAGCACUUAUUUAGCUCCUGGAAGUGUUGACUGAUCAUUACUCAGGGAUCUCUACCCAGGAAUUGGACUUGGCCAAAGGAAGCUGUAUCGCCCAAGUUUACACUCCUUUUUAGGGGGCCUACCUCCAGUGACUGGUGGAUGUAGGAUAUAGUGCCUAGCUCUUUUGCCUUAAUUUGAGACAAUUCUGAAGGGCCAUUCCAGCUCCAGAGUUUCUUGUGUGAUUAGUUUUGACUUGAUCUAACUGCAUUGAAGUUCAACUUCUGCGUAAUCCUACUUCCUCUAUUUUCUCCUAGUAAUGUCCCCAAGAGCAUUCCAUACUAUUACCUCUUGAAAGCAAAUCCCAUUUGUUUCCUGGGAAACCUGAACUAAGACAAUGACUUUUCUCUGCAAAAA
rnacentral:lncRNA from 1 species